GCCAGCAGCAACAACGGCGGUGGCGCCCGGAAGGGGAAGACGGUGGUGCCUGGAAGGGGGAGCCAGCAACAGCAGCGACAUCGAGCGCGAGGGUAUCAAAGUGCAGGAGGUCGUCGUCGCGGAGGACGAGGAGCAUGGCGAGGUGCUGCGGGAGGUAGGCGCCGACAUCGUCGCGCUUCAGAACGUGCGCGCCGAGCAGGAGCACCAUUCUCUUUUCUAAUCAAUAACUCCAUACAAUUAUUAUUGGUUGGCAAGGAGGGUGUUCUGAAGGCUAACAUGACCACUACUCCUUGACAAGUGAAAAUUUCAGCGGAGAACAAUGUCAAUCUUGGCCAUGACGAGAAAUCAAGGUGGCACUUUUCUGCAUGUAUUUUCCAAGAAGCAAGUACAAUUGAAAAUGGUGGCCCAAUAAAAGAGAAAGAAGCAAGCACCUACAGGCGCUUCCAAUUAGGAGACCUGACAGGGUGAUAGGGCAGUUGAUCGAAUUUUUGGCUUAGAAUAUAUUGGCUGUGUCAUUUCUCAGCUGAAACGUUUUUUUGGAUGUCCCUGAAAGUGUUUCUCAUUGUCUGGAAGGUUCAAAUUACGGAAGAGGCAUUCUUUGUGCUUGGUGAACUUAUGGAGGCAGGCUUAGUCUACACUGCACUUGUUCCAUCAUAGCUGCAAAAAUAAUUAAACAAGUAUAUUCGGUUCUUCCAAUCUACGAUAAAAUUGUCCCAGCAUUACUUGAAGUUGGAGUUUGGAAGCUUCCAGAGACAUGCAAAUUUUCCAUAGGUGUCCCUGUUGGCCCUAUGUUAGCAAAAGCAACGAAAUCUGUCUCGGAGGUUAUUGACAAGUUUCAGGGUCUUGAGUAUACUUGUGAGUACAAGUAUGAUGGUGAAAGGGCUCAGAUUCCGGAAGCCUACGGUCAAAUCAUUUGUCUUGGGCUGCGAAAUUGUUGCCUAUGAUCGUGAAAAACAGAAUUUUGCCUUUCCAGGUUUGUAUUUCAUUCUCUUAAUUUCCAGAUGGGUUACUAAAGAAAGUGGACAUCAUAUAUGCAACAUAGGUUGAUUUGCCUUGCAGUCGGCAAUGAUAAUUUGGUGUGGAUUGGAAUACUUAAAUUUCAACAAUAUCCCCCUUUUUAGCAUUAUAAUACAAUCUUAGUAUUUUGCUUUUGGAGGGGUUUCACAUAUGUUGGUCGAACCUUUGUUAUUUAUUAAUGAGAUUUUUUAUAGUAGCUCUAUGCAUUCCACUUAUUUUUAAACAAUCUAACUUUAAACACGUGCCUGUGGCGCGUGCAUUUCCACUAGUAUUACUAAAAGGUGCUUGAUUGCUUCAUGCAAGCUUCUGAAAUCCAGGAACUUCUACAAUCUAAAGAGAUGAUAUUAGAUGCAAGUUUAUGAACAAAAGAAGCUUUAUAAAAGAGUUGUAAG